rnacentral:tRNA from 1 species
AUCUGAAUAGUUUAAGUUAAAAUAUUGGUUUGUGGUGCCGAUGAUAUAUAUAUUUGUAUUUUAGAUU